UACGGAAGGCAGCAGUGGGGAAUAUUGCACAAUGGGCGCAAGCCUGAUGCAGCCAUGCCGCGUGUAUGAAGAAGGCCUUCGGGUUGUAAAGUACUUUCAGUCGUGAGGAAGGUGUUAAGGUUAAUAACCUUAGCAAUUGACGUUAGCGACAGAAGAAGCACCGGCUAACUCCGUGCCAGCAGCCGCGGUAAUACGGAGGGUUGCGAGCGUUAAUCGGAAUUACUGGGCGUAAAGGGCACGCAGGCGGUUAAUUAAGUUGGAUGUGAAAUCCCCGGGCUUAACCUGGGAAUGGCAUUCAAGACUGGUUAGCUAGAGUCUUGUAGAGGGGGUUAGAAUUCCAUGUGUAGCGGUGAAAUGCGUAGAGAUGUGGAGGAAUACCGGUGGCGAAGGCGGCCCCUGGACAAAGACCUGACGCUCAUGUGCGAAAGCGUGGGGAGCAAAC
rnacentral:rRNA from 1 species